GGGAAAAAGAUGUGAACCCAGUCGAGGGUCUUCUGAAGUACGUAAUGAACCAGGAUCGCCCAUCAGAUGAGCUAAUAGAAAAGGAGGGAAGUGUAUGCCUGACACAGGAGGAUUUCUGGCUCUUGGGAUUAAAUCAGCGCAUGGAAUCAAACACUUUGAUGAGAAGAGACCCGGGAAAGGCUGCAGGCAGCGAGGCAAAAGACUCAGGAGAAGUACUGGAGAGUGCGAGCUAGACA